GAUAUUGAAAAAUUAAGUUUAUUUAUUCUUCUAAGGGCACAUUGAAUGCUUAAAAUAUUCUUAUACGUAAAUAUUUAUACUUUUGAGUGGUUCCUUCAGAAAAUUUAAAAUUUUAAUCAAAUGGAUUUCCCGAACUUGUUCUUUUAAUAGCAUUCAGUUUUCCUUGAUAUACAUUAGAGUCAUGACCUUUCGUGUGAAUAACAUUUUUGGAAAGCCCAUUGUUGGUUGCUAUUUCUACAACUCCCAGAGAAAUUACCUUAGAAAUUACUGUAAUAGAGUCUGUUGACUGUGAAUGAAUUGCUUUGUCGGCAGGGUAAUUAGGUUCUCCACUGCAGGCAACACAUAUCGCUUCGUCACCUCGUCUGGACAUAUUAUAGAUUAGGCAUUCUUUGUGAAAGGAAUGUUGACAAAGAAAAUAUACUGAUUGUGUAUUAAGCGCUUGACGACAAAUAUCACAUGAACUAUUGCGAAAUUCUAUUGGAUUAUUUGCAUAAAGUGAAAGCAUAGAACCUGACUUUUUUAUUUUUUUAUUCAAAUUUUCAAUCAUUUGCAAUUCGUUUCUUGAAUCCAAUAUAUUUUUAACUAUGUUUUCAUUAACAAAAGGUUUAAACUGUGAGGCAUGUAUUGAAUGAUUUUGAAAUCCACUCUUUAACAUUAUUAACAAUGAGCUUGUCCUCAGCUCAAAGAUAUGCGUAAGAUCGGGAUAUCCCUUCAAGAGACUGUGUACACAUUUGUUCGAUCCUACAUUGGUAACAGUAUCUGCAUCAUUCAAAUUUGUAUAAACUUGUUUAAUCCCAUUUAAAAAUGCAUAAAGUCUGCAUAUAGUUAAAACUUUUUCUAGGCGUAGGCGAUCAGUUUUCAAAAAAUCUAAAACAAAGCCUGUGGUUAUUUUGUUUUCAUGCCAAAGUCCAAGAUAAAGAAUAAGUAAAUAAUCAUAUAGUUCGUGGUCACAUGUGGGGUAACUCGCAAUUAUUUCAGCUAAUAAGUUAGCACAAAACUCGUUAUGUUCCGACAAAAUGGGGAAAAAGCGAAGGAUAUUUUUUGUCGUGUUUCCAAUUAUUAGUGAUUUAAAAUGCUGUAAAUAGGGUUCUGGGUUUAAAAUUAAUGAUUCUGAUCCAUAUUCUAUAUAGAAAUUCAAUUCUUCAUCGUCUUCAAAACUUUUGACUUGAGCUCCAUAAUUUUUUGAAUUUAAAUUACUGCUUUGUAUAUUUAAAAACUUAUUAUCCGUGUUGUUGAAGGAAACAUUACUGACAGGUUGAUGAAUGUUCUCAGGUUUCCCAUUUUUUUGCUCAAGUAAUUUUAAGAGCUGUUUGUGUUUAUCUUUAGCAUGGUUACUUUUUAAAACUGCAUACAAAUAUUCUUUUAGAUAAUCAGUGUACUUGGAAUGGAGUAGUUUGGAAAUCACAUCAUAGGGUUUAAUAAAGCCAAUUGUUUUAAUGUAUUCUAGUACUGCUCUACUUAUAUCGCCUUUCAGUACCAUAUGAUUUCCGUAUUGAAAUCGCACGCAAGCCGUUUCGUGUGACGAAGCAAGUCCUUCUCUAGACAACAAUUGCAAAGCAAUAUUGUACAUAUUUUGUUCAAUUAAAAGUCGAAUUUUUGUAUUAGUAUUGCACUGCUGUAACUUAAAUAUGUUCGUGCUAUUUCUAGAUUCAGUAUUUGUGAUAAUGUAACAUAAGGUAUUUUCGCUGAUAGUAUACAACAAAUCUUGAAUUUGCUUAUAAAAAACAAUGAUUUUAUUUUCGGUAUCCACAACAAUUAGGGUCAACUUGCUUUUAUCCGAAAUGACACUUUUUGGACUUUGUACUACAACAAUAAGAUAAUGGCCUACCCAAUCUAAACAUUUUUUUGUCCCUUCAAUAGCAUAGCAAGGGCCUCUCCCAUCACUAGUAUAGCAGUAUAUAGCAUCUUCUCGUCCUACUACUAACAUAGCAUCAUCAAACUUUGCAUUACUCGCUUUGCGCAUCGUACAACAAUGAUUGUAAGCACGUUUAUUAUUAUCAAGUAUAAAUUUUGGGUCUACUGCGCCUUUUUCUUUUAAAAUAAAGCAGUACACUCCAUCAAAACAUGUGACAAACAUGUUUGGAGUAUGUUUAUCAGAGCUUUGAGGUCUGAUGUCAAAGUGUAUUCCAUUAAUUGCGUGUCCAGAUAUUGAGUGGCGGCGAGUAUUCGAUGAAAUAAAUCUGUUUAUCUUUCCACAAUGCAACAAAAUGUCGCCGUUCUCAAAGCCCAAGCCUAAAAACAGUAUUUUAUCGUCAAUGACUUCUGCAUUGAUGCAUGUUGUACCUGUACUUGUUGUAUUAUAAGUACCGGAAGCAAUUAUUGGAGCUCCUUGUUUUUUGGUCAACUUUUUUAGAUCAUAUAUAUAUAUAUGUACUACAAAUGUUUCGUCUUGUGUGGCAGUUGCUAGUAAAUUAUUAGACGUGAGCGCGCAAUGUCUGAUGUGGUGCACACUAUGUUGACUUUUAAAUGAAAUGCACUCCCAGUUGGGAAAAUAAACAUAUAUUUGUCCAUUCCGGUCACAAAACACUAGCGUGUUUCCCCCAGCGUCAGAUUUGGUCAGGUUGAAACAGUGGCAUGUUAUUUCCGAAACAUUCGGUAAUUUUAUAAACGGCAGCCCAACAAUAUUGAAGAAGUUCACUUUUUUCCAUUCUAAAACUGUAGUAUUCAUCUUGUUAUUGUGUUUUUGUCUAUUACAG
rnacentral:lncRNA from 1 species